UGAUUCAUACCUAAUCCUCAUAGAAUACUAGGGGUUUUUUUAUGUUCUUGAUUUCUUUCCCCCUUUUCUUCCUACGUCGACAGCAGAAAUCAUAAUUUGUUCAAUUGUGGCGAUCACUGAAGAGUGACGUCUACACCGCCGCCUCCAUUAUGCAAUCGUCUCCGAUCUUCUCUACCAUCUCCAUUUGUUCACUCUUCCCUUGUCGUUUUGCGAGAUCAUGAUGUGAUUCUAGGGCUCGAUUCUUUUCUCCUCCCUUUGAAUGUUUGUUCUUGUGGGUUUCAUCUUCGGGUUUUCAAAGAAAUUACAGAUUGUAAUGUAACGUCAAUUAUAGGUGCUGAUACGCCGACAACUAUUGAGUCCUUUCAGGCCGCUGCCCUAGUGAGCCAGGCUACACUAUACCCUAAAUACCUUAUGGACCAUAACUUAUUCAGAUCGACCAUGCUUGAUGCUUCACCCGACUGAAGCUAUAACCAAAGGUGCAAACUGGUAUGCUAUUUUUUAAUCAAGAGUCAACAAUACAUUUUUUGUUGGAGUCGAUCAUCAAUUACUUCAACAAGUAACAAAAUCAAUCUUAUAUCCCUAGUUUUCACCUUGUAAGGUUUUAGAAUUAAAUCCAAACUAUUUUGUCAAUUUCUUGUUUACUUUACUGUCGUCAUUGUAUUUCUUUACUACAUUCAUCAGAUCCUUGAAGAAGCAGGCACCAAUGUUCUCUUAUCAAUUUCAUUGCUUGUCAAACACAUUAAACCUUCAGUUCUCUUUAUCUCCUGUAGAAUUAUAUUCCCUCUUUUGCCCAAGAACUUUAACAACACUAUUUGGCAUUUCCCUAUAAAUUUAGAUGAUACCCACUGUAAAUAUUUGUAAUUGUAAAAGCCUUAUUGAGUUAUUGUUAUUACCUUUACCAAUUUACCAAUGACAGUUCUGAAGAAAAAAAAAAAGACGCUCUUAUUUAACAACUUACAAGACAUAAUGGGCUGUAAAUUUCAUUUUUCUAUUUCAGUGAUGUUACACUUAAUAUUCUUUAGGAAUGUAAUGAUGAACUCUCAUGGGGGUAAUCUGCAUCAAUAUCUCCUUUUUCCAUAGGUUCAUGACCUUAUGUUUAGUGGUCUUUCACCAAAUUAUCUUGCUUCUAGUUUCCACUUACUUUAUUAGUCUGUACUUAAUGGAACUUAGAAUCUCAUUCAAUUCAGAAUGAUUUUAGGAUUGAAGCAGCCGACUCAAGCCUAAGCAUACAAUAUUAGCAACAAGUUACGUGAUUUAUUCUUAAAUAAUAAAAACAAAUGCAAAACGUGGUCAAUGGCAUUUUAUAGUAUUUUUUCUUUAAACAUUUAACAUCUUUUGGAUUUCACCUAGAAUUUGCUUUACAUUCUAACAGAAUAUGAUAUUAAGAACCCGUGUUUUAUGUAAUUCCUAGAUUCUCACAGCAUGCCUAUUCUUCUGCUUCCAGGUCAAUAACACAAUAUUAUUUAAAAGAUGAAUCGUUUUUACUUGUUACAUUACAUAGAUACCGGAAACAAACUUAGAGCAGAUGAGGAUUCUUCAAGAAUUGCAAGAUUUUUUUUAAAGAUUUUUUAUUCAUUUGAUCUAUUGCACUUUAUAAUUGUAUUUGUAUUUUCAUUUGUAUAAAAGUGUAACCAGAUUUUACAAGAAUAUAUCUUUUGCAUUAACAUUUUAACCUUUCAAAUGCUAUGUUAUUCAAAUGCAAUGUUAUAGUGCCACAUUUGUAUUCUAGCAUUCUCACAAAAUUUCAUUCUAUUAGAAAGUCAUGCUGACAGAAUAAAAAAUUGGGUAAAAUUAAAAAUAACGUUAGGAUUAAAAUUGAAUUAAUUAAAAAAAUCAAGAAUUCAAAAUAAAAAGUGUCAAAUAUCCCUUAAAUUCCGAAAAUUUCAUUAAUUAAUCG
rnacentral:lncRNA from 1 species